GGGGGGGGGGGGGGGGGGGGGGGGGGGGGGGGGGGGGGGGGGGGGGGGGGGGGGGGGGGGGGGGGGGGGGGGGACACUGGGGACAUGAGGGGACACUGGGGGAUGGGGUUUGGGGGAGUUUGGGGGUUUUGGGGAGUUGUGGGGUCGGUGGACACCAAUGGUGAAGAUGUGGAGGGACAUGGGGGGACAAAAAGGGGCACGGAGGGACAUCGGGGUGACUGGAAGGGACACGAGGGGACACAAAGGGACACGAGGGGACACAGGGGGGGGGGGCACGAGGGGACACAGGGGGAGCAUUUUGGGGGAGUUUUGGGGGAAGUUUUUGGGGUCAACGAUCAACCCAUAUCAAUGGCAGUGAUGCUGUGAAGAUGUGGGAGGACAUGGGGGGACACGAGGGGACACGAGGGGACACGGGGGGACACGAGGGGACACGAGGGGACCCAGAGGGACGCAAAGAGAACAUGGAGGGACACGGGGGGAGCAUUCUGAGGGAAAUUUGAGGCAGUUUUGGCGUCAAAACUCAACCUCCACCACUGCUGCCACCACACACGGCAAAGAGAGGAGGGACAUGGGGGGACAUGAGGGGACAUGAGGGGAUACAAGGGGACCUGAGGGGACACGGGGGGACAUGAGGGGACAUGGAGGAGCACGGGGAAAUAAUUUUGAGGGAAAUUUGGCGGAGUUUUGGUGUCAGUAACCAACCCCCACCGCCACUGCCACCGCACACCGCGGGCACAGGGGGGGACAGGAGGUGACAUGGGGGGACACCGAGGGACACGGGGGGACACAGAGGGACACGGGGAUAUAAUUUUGAGGGAAAUUUGGAAGAAUUUUGGAGGAAUUUUGGUGUCAACAACCAACCCCCACCGCCGCUGCCACCGCACACGGCGGGCACAGGGGGGACAGGAGGCGACAGGAGGGGACACGAAGGGACACAGAGGGACAUGGAGGGACACGAAGGGACAUGGAGGGACACGGGAGAAUCAUUUUGAGGGAAAUUUGGCGGAGUUUUGGUGUCAACAACCAACCCCCACCGCCGCUGCCACCGCACACGGCGGGCACAGGGGGGACAGGAGGCGACAGGAGGUGACACGAGUGUCACUCGGCGGCGCCACCGCUGACCCCCUGCCGCCCCCCAGGUCCCUUCGAGGGCCCCAACUACCACAUCGCCCCGCGCUGGGUGUACAACCUGACGUCGCUGUGGAUGAUCUUCGUGGUGGUCGCCUCGGUGUUCACCAACGGGCUGGUGCUGGUGGCCACGGCCAAGUUCAAGAAGCUGCGGCACCCCCUGAACUGGAUCCUGGUCAACCUGGCCAUCGCCGACCUGGGCGAGACCGUCAUCGCCAGCACCAUCAGCGUGGUCAACCAGAUCUUCGGCUACUUCAUCCUCGGCCACCCCAUGUGCGUCAUCGAGGGCUACACCGUCAGCGCCUGCGG
rnacentral:lncRNA from 12 species